AACGAACGCUUGCGGCGUGCCUAAUACAUGCAAGUCGAACGAGAAAGCCCUUCGGGGUGAGUACAGUGGCGCACGGGUGAGUAACACGUGGAUAAUCUGCCUUUGAGUGGGGAACAACCUUCCGAAAGGAUGGCUAAUACCGCAUAAGACCACAGUUUCUGCGGAAACAGGGGUUAAAGAUUUAUUGCUCAAAGAUGAGUCCGCGUCCGAUUAGCUAGUUGGUGGGGUAAUGGCCUACCAAGGCAUUGAUCGGUAGCUGGUCUGAGAGGAUGACCAGUCACACUGGAACUGAGACACGGUCCAGACUCCUACGGGAGGCAGCAGUAGGGAAUAUUGCGCAAUGGGGGCAACCCUGACGCAGCAACGCCGCGUGAGUGAUGAAGGCUUUAGGGUCGUAAAGCUCUGUCGUGGGGGAAGAUAAUGACGGUACCCCACAAGAAAGGACCGGCUAACUUCG
rnacentral:rRNA from 1 species